rnacentral:rRNA from 1 species
UCUGUGCCAGCAGCCGCGGUAAUACAGAGGGUGCAAGCGUUAAUCGGAAUUACUGGGCGUAAAGCGAGUGUAGGUGGCUCAUUAAGUCACAUGUGAAAUCCCCGGGCUUAACCUGGGAACUGCAUGUGAUACUGGUGGUGCUAGAAUAUGUGAGAGGGAAGUAGAAUUCCAGGUGUAGCGGUGAAAUGCGUAGAGAUCUGGAGGAAUACCGAUGGCGAAGGCAGCUUCCUGGCAUAAUAUUGACACUGAGAUUCGAAAGCGUGGGUAGCAAACAGGAUUAGAUACCCUGGUAGUCCAUGCCGUAAACGUUGGGCACUAGGUGUGGGGACCAUUCCACGGUUUCCGCGCCGCAGCUAACGCAUUAAGUGCCCCGCCUGGGGAGUACGGCCGCAAGGUUAAAACUCAA